GCCCGCUUGGCUCAGUGGUAAGAGCGUGUCUGCAGUGCCGUCUCCUAGAAAUUCCUUAGAACAGCGUCUGUCAAUGGCAAGAUCAUCAGUUCGACUCUGAUAGCGGGUA